GACGAACGCUGGCGGCGUGCUUAACACAUGCAAGUCGAACGGUGAAGCGCCUUCCUUUUUGGUGGGUGUGGAUGAGUGGCGAACGGGUGAGUAACACGUGAGUAACCUGCCCCCUUCUUCUGGAUAACCGCAUGAAAGUGUUGCUAAUACGGGAUAUUCUGGGUCUGUCGCAUGAUGGGUCUGGGAAAGAUAUUGUUUCGGUGGGGGAUGGGCUCGCGGCCUAUCAGCUUGUUGGUGGGGUGAUGGCCUACCAAGGCGGUGACGGGUAGCCGGCCUGAGAGGGUGGACGGUCACACUGGGACUGAGACACGGCCCAGACUCCGACGGGAGGCAGCAGUGGGGAAUAUUGCACAAUGGGCGCAAGCCUGAUGCAGCGACGCCGCGUGAGGGAUGGAGGCCGUCGGGUUGUGAACCUCUUUCGCCAGUGAAGCAGGCCUGCCUCGUUUGUGGGUGGGUUGACGGUAGCUGGAUAAGAAGCGCCGGCUAACUACGU
rnacentral:rRNA from 1 species